UACAGAGGUCUCAAGCGUUGUCCGGAUUUAUUGGGCGUAAAGAGCGUGUAGGCGGCCUGACAGGUCUGCUGUGAAAACUCGAGGCUCAACCUCGAGAUGUCGGCGGAAACCGUCUGGCUAGAGUCCGGAAGAGGAGAGUGGAAUUCCUGGUGUAGCAGUGAAAUGCGUAGAUAUCGAGAGGAACACCAGUGGCGAAGGCGGGUCUCUGGACGAUUCCUGACGCUGAGGCACGAAAGCCAGGGGAGCAAACGGG
rnacentral:rRNA from 1 species